GUAUAUGGAAAAGCACACGACAAGGAAGAACAACACAUAGGACAAAUACUUCAUGGCAAGAUCAUCAUAUUCUUUCGUCUUAUUUCCAGCAUAUGAUUCCCGAUCUCGGAACCUCAACAUAGGUAUUCUACCAGAUCUGUCAAUCUAGAAAGUUUCCAGCAUACGAUUCCCGAUCUCGGAACCUCAACAUAGGUAUUCUACCAGAUCUGUCAAUCUAGAAAUCAAGGACAACUAAUGAAAGAACUGUUGGCGGCUUGAAUUUAUGCUCAAUCAAUCACAGUAUGUAAAAAGAAGGCAUCAACAAUGAAGAAGACAUUAAGAAGUUUGAAUUCUAUUUACUUUUUCUCGCACAUUCAGAACACUUGCACUUCGAAUUAUUUUCAAAUAUUGUUGUGUGUUAAUUCAGAUGCCAGUUGCAAACUCCUCUGCUAAGAGGAACGAAGGAUCUCAAGAGUCCAUGGAAAUGAAACU
rnacentral:lncRNA from 1 species